UAACAAUGGAACACAUAGCAUUGAUUCCAAAUAACGUUUUAUGUUCAUAGAAAAAGCAGCAUUUUCAUGUGUGUACCAGUGCCAGUUCAGAGUGACUCCACCUUGGCCUGUGGGUUUUCCAGCUUUAUAUCAGCAAAAGCAAGUCCAGAGUUAGGGCCUGGCUUCUCUCCAAUGUGUUGAACCACUUUUGGCACGUGCAGCUCUUCACACAGAGAGCCAGUGGCUCUCAGCACAGUUCCAAGGCUGCAGGAGAGCUGGAAACGCACAUCUCUGCUUCCCUGAAGGACCUGUGACAUCUGUGAGAAAGAGCAAAACCUCCCUGGCCACUCUUCCACCACAUCCUUUGAACCUUCUGCAGAUGAGAUCUUCCUUUUCAUCCACUGAGAACACCAGCAGAGCCCAGUGCUCAGGGCAGAGAGGACAGGUGAAGAUCACUGACCUCUUCCCCAGCCCCACUCUGAACAUUCCUCAUGGCCUUGGAUGAAACUUUCCCAGGCUUCCACUUUCUUGUCUGCAGGACAGCAGUGACAGUGCUUAUUUUCUAUGUGUGCUGAAACACCUCUUGUAUUCACCUACUUGAGGCACAAAUUUACUGUAGAAUCUUUGCUGUGUAGAUCAACCUUCCCUCAGCUAGUUGUGUUUCUGGAAUUGAAGAGUGCAAAGUCAGAAUUUGGACCAGGUCUUUAGGCAAUAAGUACAUAUGUG
rnacentral:lncRNA from 1 species